AGGCAUAAAAAGUCAUAAAAUGCUCAUAGUACAGUAUAGUAUGUUAUUUUAUAGUAAGUUAUAAAAAGUCAUACUAUAGUAAAACAUAAAAAGUUAUAGAAUAGUGAGGAAUAAUAAGACAGUAUAGUAAGUUAUAAAAGUCAUAUAAAAGUUAUAUUAUAGUAAGGCAUAGAAAGUCAUAAAAAUCUCAUAGUAUAGUAAGGUAUAAAAGUAACAAAAAUGUUAUAUUAUAGUAAGUCAUAAAAAGUCAUAGUAUAGUGAAGCAUAAAAGUAACAAAAAUGUUAUAUUAUAGUGAGGCAUAAAAAGUCAUACUAUUGUAAAACAUAAAAAGUAAUAGUAUAGUAAGGAAUAAUAAGUCAUAGUAUAAUAAGAUAUAAAAGUCAUACUAUAGUAAGGCUUAAAAAGUUAUAGAGUAGUAAGGCAUGAAUAGUGUCAUGCCCUCUGCCCCUGCUCCCUGCUUGUGUGUUCAAAUCUGAUUACAGAUGGGAGACUGCUGUGCUGGAGUCGGGGCCUCUCAGCUGCUGCUCAUCUGGUCAUCAACCCACACUACAUAAGAUCUUGGGCCACAGUCAGUCAGCGCUGGAUUAUAGACACUGCUUCCUCUACACCCUCCGCCCUGACUCCAGCCUGCAUCUCAAGCCAGAGCUCAUUCUCCGCCAGCCUGCCCAUCUGCCUUCAUCUGCCAGCACCUGCCUCCCUGCCAUACCAUCCUACACAAUAAACACUCUUGUUACCUGA